rnacentral:lncRNA from 1 species
AAUCAGCUCAGCGCAUUACUAGCCUAGCCCCAAUCCCCACUCUGAAGUCGAACUCUCAUCUCAACUCUCAAACUCUUAAUCUGAAUCUCUCAAGUCUCAUCCCAAACCCAGAAUUCAGAUCUCGAAGACUGGAACUCAGAAUCGGAAGUCGGUGAGUCCUCCUCCCUUUCUUAAUUUCUUCUUGUCUUCUUUCUCUUCUUUUGCUGCAACUUCUUCGUCUCUUUUCUCUCGAUCUCUCAUUCGGUUUGAUAUUUUUUUUGUUUGUUUUUAUUUUAACCAAAUUUGGGUUGUAUACUGAGCCGAAUAUGAUUUUUUGCUGCCUGAUUUUGUUUGUUUUGUUCAACCCUUACUAUUUGUGAUCUGAUUUGGACGUGAGAAGGAGAGAAAUAGAGGUUUCAUUGUGAGAUGCACAUGGAUCGGGAGAGAAGAUUGUGAGGGAGUAGAUCCCGACAGCAGCGAUAGGGAGAUGAAAAGCAGAGACUGGGAGCAUAGAGAACAAACCUCGUGCAGUACAGUGUAUAUAUAUUCAAAAUAUAUUACUAAUCGAUUAGGUCGAUUUUGAUCAAAUAACUGAGUUGUUUAUGGUAAACUGAGUGUCGACCGAACUUACUUUGUUUUUUAGUUCUAAGAGCAACCGCUGCCACGAACUUAGCCAGUACAUGUUGGUUCAGAUUAAUUUGGUAAGCCGGCUCUCCUAGUUUUUCUGGUUUGUCAUAUUCCCCUAACUCAAGACUUAUGUUUCUACAUAUUGAGCUUGUCUCUCUUACUAACUGCAACCUUUUUUUCUUGGGAAAAUGGUGGUUUUCAAAUUUCAUUGUAUUGUAGAGAAGAAUUUUCAUUUUCAAAAUAUAGUCUUCUUUCAUUUUAUCAGGUUAUUUUGAUGGUUAGAUUUACUUUAGCAGCUUGUUAUAUUUUUGCGAAUUUAUCCUGGCAGCUUGAUAAUUUAAUCUGAACUAAGUGGUUGAUAUUUCUAUUUUAAUUGGACAUAUGAUAGUUACUUCAAACAAAUUACUUGAUUUAGGCUUUCAUUAUAAAUGAGAACUCAAUCUAAAGAAUAAGCUAGGUGAUCCAAGUCUAUUUCAUGGGGGCUUAGUUGGAAUAAAGCUGGGAUCCUUAAAUUAUUGGACUUAACAAGUGAAGCAAAAGUUGAUUUGAAAGCUUGUCAUUAUGUUUUUUUGUGUGUAAAGUGGUCUGUGUUAUUGAUUUUCGUACUUAACCUAUUCUGUUUCUUAAGUUGUAUUUUGGUUGUCAUUGCAUAGAUAUACUGUGUUAUGUCAACACUAUCAUCUGUAUUUAAUCCAGAAAAAGAAGAGAAGAAAAGGAUAAAAUAUAUUUCUGUUAGAAGAAAACUAAUCUAUAUUCAUGACCUUAUUCUGUAAAAUCUAAUAAUCAAUUAUUAAUAUGUUUAAUAUAUAAGAGGUUAAGUCAUUCAUAAUUUUUCUUCAUUAAAAGGAUCUCCUUCACUAGCUAACUUCUGGCACAUUGUCUCUAGCUAGAACACUAUUAUUUUCGGUACAAGAUAUGGCCAUGAGUCAUCAUGUGCGGUAAUGGAAGCUUUUGAUCUUUGUCAGGCUAGAACUUGCAAAGUGCAUUGCAAACCCAUCAUGUGCAGCCAAUGUUGCUUGUCUCCAAACAUGCAACAAUAGACCUGAUGCGACUGAAUGCUAGGUUAGUUCCACAUAUUCCUGUCUGCAACAAUGGGCUAAGCACUUCCAGUGUAGCACAUACUUUAUAUGAUACAUUUCUCUAAACAGCUUUGACAACCAUCUCUUAUUUACUUGUCGUUGGACCAAUAAUCUGGUUAUCUUUCUACUAGUCCUUGUUGUGCCGUUUAUUUAAAGAUAUGAUUUUAUACUUGUACAAUUUGAUGUAAUAUGUUUUUCUUGUAGCUGUAGAUUGAACAUUAGUUCUGGAAAUGGAUCGUUCAACUAUUCAAGUAGUUUGGCAAAUAUGGCACGUUUUUUUUUCGUUGCCAAAAGUAAUACAUUUUUCAACGAAAUUUGGCUUUCGUACAACACAAAAGAGUUUGAGCGAAUGCUUUAUCUAGGAUGUAGUUGAUCCUGAUUCAACACACAGGGAUAUUAAUUUGCCCCCAUUUGACAAAUAUUAUUUAAAAAAUACAAUUACAUCAUGUUCCUACCAGUAGUUCUCUGAACAUGUUGAGUGACCAUUACAUAUUUUUUUGAGGGACCUAGUUGAUCCUGAUUCAACACAGGAAGACAUUAAUUUUCUCCACUUGACAAAAUAUUGUUUAAAGUGCAAUCAUAUCAUAUUCCUCAGUAUUUCUCUGAACAUAUUGAAUGAGUGACAUCAUAUAUUUUAUUGGGAUUGUUGAAAAACUUCUGCACAUCAUGUUUUUUUAGAAUUUGAUAUCUUCGACUACUACAUUCACCGCACAAAUUUUACUUUAAUAUGUAAGAAGCCUCUUGUCAACCUGAAUUGUAUUUUAUUCACUAGGGCAGAUGUACAUGGCUAUCUUGAGCUCUGUACCUACCUAGAUAUCUUAUGACAACUUAUUUAAUCAUUUUCACAUCUUAUACAUGCACAUUGCACAUGGUACCAUCUUGUGUAUGUUUGUCAAACUAGUAUGUACUUCAUGUUAUCUUGUUUAAGGCAUUUUAUUUAGUCAGUUGAAGGACUUUGGAAUCUUUCUAUAUGCUCAACCAUAUAAUAAAUAUUGUGGGUAGUCUGUUGGUUUAAUAAUAUUAGUAUCACGUAGAAACUUUAUUGUCUUUGUGUAUUGAUUUUGGCAUUAAGUGCCUCUGUUGACCUAUUUGUUUUAUUUCUGACUUGCUAUUAUUUUUAAAUAUAUGCAGGAAGACUGUUUCUACGACCUGCCUUACAAUACUGGGUAUCAAAUUUUCGUGCUAUGUUUACGGAAGACAAGGGACAAAAUUGUGAAGUGUACUCCCUAUAUAUGUAGAUAUAUACUUUGAUUGAAGAACUGUGGUAGUUUUAGAUGGUUAAUUGUAAAUAUAAUGAAUGAUUAUGUAGUGGAUGAUUUUAUUAAGUUAAUAAUAUUUUAGUUUUUUGUAUUUUUGUCAUUAUUUUCUAUGGGGACAUUGAGCCAG